rfam:Gorilla gorilla gorilla genomic chromosome, chr19, whole genome shotgun sequence
GCCAGGCGUGGUGGCGCAUGCCUGUAAUCUCAGCUACUUGGGAGGCCAAGAGGCUCGAGAAUUGCUUGAACCUGGGAGGUGGAGGUUGUAGUAAGAGAUCCCACUACUGCACUCCACCCUGGGCAACAGAGCAAGACUCCAUCUCAAUAAAAUAAAUAAAUAAGCUUUCCUCCAUGGUUCAGGGCAUACAAACAAGAGGAAACAGGUCAGCUAUAGGUCUGUUUGAGACAGUCUUACUCUGUUGCCCAGGCUGGAGUGCAGUAGUGGGAUCUCUUACUACAACCUCCACCUCCCGGGUUCAAGCAAUUCUCGAGCCUCUU